UACUUUUCCAGGCUCAGCAGGGAGCUGCUGGAUGAGAAAGAGCCUGAAGUCUUGCAGGACUCACUGGAUAGAUUUUAUUCAACUCCCUGUGGGUACCUGGAACUGCCUGACUUAUGCCAGCCCUACAGAAGUGAGUUUUACUCAUUGCAGGAACAACACCUUGGCUUGGCUCUUGACUUGGCAGGAAUUAAAAAGGACCAAGAAGAGGAAGAAGACCAAGGCCCACCAUGCCCCCAGGCUCAGCAGAGAGCUGCUGGAGGUAGUAGAGCCUGAGGACUUGCAGGACUCACUGGAUAGAUGGUAUUCGACUCCUUUCAGUUAUCCAGAACUGCCUGAUUCAUGCCAGCCCUACGGAAGUUGCUUUUACUCAUUGGAGGAAGAACACGUUGGCUUUUCUCUUGACGUCAGAAAUUGAAAAGUACCAAGAAGGGGAAGAAGAUCAAAAGCCACCAUGCCCAAGUCUUGCAGGACUCACUGGAUAGAUGUUAUUCGACUACUUCAACUUACUUUCAACUACAUGCCUCAUUCCAGCAGUACAGAAGUGCCUUUUACUCAUUUGAGGAACAGGACGUCAGCUUGGCCCUUGACGUGGACAAUAGGUUUUUUACUUUGACAGUGAUAAGGCACCACCUGGCCUUCCAGAUGGGAGUCAUAUUCCCAC
rnacentral:lncRNA from 1 species